ACGGCUUACUUCCGACACAACGUUCCUGCUCGUGUGGCUGCAACAGAAGCGUGAAAGAUCAGCUGUCGAAACUCCUUCGGAACGAAGAGCAGUUUCAUGUGACAUAACAUUCUUUUGGGGUCACGAUACCAAACAGUACGCACGUUUCCAUUUAUUCUAAGGAGUGACGGUAUUGCAUCAGCAGAUGUGCAAUGAAAGGGAAACGUUCAACAAUCCUGAGGUUGUACUGUGGGGUAGUGCUUUUUGGAGUUAUGCUCGACAUGGUGGCAGGAAGGUCUGUCCUUGAAAGCACACACAGAGGACGGCGUGUCCCUCUGAUAUUGCCAACCGGCAGUGACAGCUUCGAAUGUCUCAAGUGUCGAAACCUACUGGAUAUUGUGCCUGCUCGUGAAACAACAUUUUCUUCAGCACUUAUCCUGUACAGGUGAAGCGGUCUUAUAUAGCGGCCAGCGGAGGAUUCCUUUCGUUAGAAAACCAUCGCAAUAAAAGCGAAGUAUUUUCGGAA